GAUGAACGCUAGCUACAGGCUUAACACAUGCAAGUCGGGGGGAAACGACAUCGAAAGCUUGCUUUUGAUGGGCGUCGACCGGCGCACGGGUGAGUAACGCGUAUCCAACCUGCCCACCACUUGGGGAUAACCUUGCGAAAGUAAGACUAAUACCCAAUGAUAUCUCUAGAAGACAUCUGAAAGAGAUUAAAGAUUUAUCGGUGAUGGAUGGGGAUGCGUCUGAUUAGCUUGUUGGCGGGGUAACGGACACCAAGGCGACGAUCAGUAGGGGUUCCGAGAGGAAGGUCCCCCACAUUGGAACUGAGACACGGUCCAAACUCCUACGGGAGGCAGCAGUGAGGAAUAUUGGUCAAUGGGCGAGAGCCUGAACCAGCCAAGUAGCGUGCAGGAUGGCGGCCCUAUGGGUUGUAAACUGCUUUUAUAAGGGAAUAAAGUGAGCCUCGUGAGGCUUUUUGCAUGUACCUUAUGAAUAAGGACCGGCUAAUUCCGUGCCAGCAGCCGCGGUAA
rnacentral:rRNA from 1 species